AGCGAGUAAAGGAGAAAGAAGCCAUAUUGAAAGAAGCUGAGAGAGAGCUACAGGCCAAAUUUGAGCACCUUAAGAGACUUCACCAAGAAGAGAGAAUGAAGCUUGAAGAAAAGAGAAGACUUUUGGAAGAAGAAAUAAUUGCUUUCUCUAAAAAGAAAGCUACCUCCGAGAUAUUUCACAGCCAGUCCUUUCUGGCAACAGGCAGCAACCUGAGGAAGGACAAGGACCGUAAGAACUCCAAUUUUUUGUAAAACAGAAGUUCCAGAGCACAGAAGGUCAUCAUCACAAGCAAACUUUAUUAAAAAAAAACUAGAAGUGUGCUUUGAUUUUGCUGUUAUUUGUUUUAUCACUUCUAUAUUUGGUGAACAGCCACAGUUACUGAUAUUUAUGGAAAAGUACUUUCAAGUACAAGGUCAAUACAUAAGCCAGAGUGAAUGAUACUACAAGUUGAGCAUCUCUAAUUCAAAAAUCUGAAAUCCAGAAGCUUCAAAAUCUGAAUCUUUUUGAGCACUGACUUGACCCCACAAGUGGAAAAUUCCCCACCCGACACCUUUGCUUUCUGAUGGUUCAGUUUAAACAGAUUUUGUUUCUUGCACAAAAUUUUUGUAUAAAUUACUUUCAGGCUAUAUGUAUAAGGUGGAUGUGAAACAUGAAUUAUGUAAUUAGAGUCGGGUCCCGUUGUGUAUAUGCAGAUAUUCCAAACCUGAAAUCCAAAACACUUCUGGUCCCUAGCAUUUUGGAUAAGGGAUACUCAGCUUGUACCUAUAUA
rnacentral:lncRNA from 10 species